rnacentral:rRNA from 1 species
UAAAGUGCAGUAUGUAUACUUCUUUGCAUGUACCUUAUGGAUAAGUAUCGGCUAACUCCGUUCCAGCAGCCGCGGUCAUACGGAGGAUCCGAGCGUUAUCCGGAUUUAUUGGGUUUAAAGGGAGCGUAGGCGGGUUGUUAAGUCAGUUGUGAAAGUUUGCGGCUCAACCGUAAAAUUGCAGUUGAUACUGGCAUCCUUGAGUACAGUAGAGGUAGGCGGAAUUCGUGGUGUAGCGGUGAAAUGCUUAGAUAUCACGAAGAACUCCGAUUGCGAAGGCAGCAUACCGGCGCCCUACUGACGCUGAGGCACGAAAGCGUGGGUAUCGAACAG